rnacentral:rRNA from 1 species
UACAGAGGGUGCAAGCGUUGUUCGGAAUUAUUGGGCGUAAAGGGCGCGUAGGCGGUGCUGUAAGUCUGUAGUGAAAUCUCUGGGCUCAACUCAGAGUCUGCUAUAGAAACUGCAGUGCUGGAGUGUGGGAGAGGUGAGUGGAAUUCCCGGUGUAGCGGUGAAAUGCGUAAAUAUCGGGAGGAACACCUGUGGCGAAAGCGGCUCACUGGACCACAACUGACGCUGAGGCGCGAAAGCUAGGGGAGCAAACAGG